AAGACCCCUACGUUUAAGACCCCUCCCAUCUCUCUCUCUCUCCCCCUUUUCUCCCUCUGCUUCUCUGCUUCAAAAUUGGAGUCAAUCAAUGCUGACCCUUCCAAAAACUCUGUCAAGGCAACUUUAUCUCAUAUUAUUAAGGUAAAUUUUGUCUUUCUUUUUCUAUUUUUCACUUGUUUACAACUAUUAGACUAGGGUUUAGGCUUAGAAAUAAUGCGUUAAAAAUGCUCAUUGUGUUUAAACGAGAUGACGAUGGAUUUCAGAGUAGUUGAAUAAAUUAGUGUUGUUAUGAGGUUUUUUGUAAGUUACUAGUAUUGUCCUAUUGUAAAUUGUGGUGUUUUUUGGGCGAAUAUACUACUAGGCUGGGGACCUAGUGCUAAUUUUAUUGAUAAUAGAAAAAGCCGCAAAAGAAAAAGUUCAAGUAAGAGGAGCAAGUUAAAAGCAACAGGAGUAGUAUAGUAUCCAAAUGCUUUGGCUUUAUCAUUAAGCACCACUAUGCUCUAGCCAGGUGCAAUGAUCUCAAAACCAACUCGCGUAACUCCCUAAGGCAAAGUGGAUAAACGACAACCACUGUGCUAGACCUUACCUUACAAUUCCUACCGAGGCAUGAACAACAUCAAUUACUAGCAAGCAUGUAACAAAUAAGAACUAAAAAGAACCAAUUCGAUGAUCAUCAUAGAAUUUAUAACAUUCUGUGAUGAUAUUACAUAUGAUGAUGCUAAGAUAAUGAUAAAAUAAAACAAGGAAGAAUGUAGAAUCAAACCCCUUUCUUCUGUGGGUUUGUGAAAUCUUCAAGGAGAUGUAGCCCAACACUAAUCUUAAUCUUCACCUUGUCUUUUUACUCCAAUCUCUCUAAGAUGUCUUGAUACUUUAUCCUUUUUUUUCCCGACCUAUCAGACCUUGUUGAGGUGGUAGAAGCCGCUAUCUUUUUCUUUGCAACUCUUAAGUGGAAGCUGCCGAAAAGCAACCUCCUCAGUGUAAGCGUUACUGUGUUAAAACAGAAUCAGAAAACUUAGAAGAGUAAAGAAAUGUAGAAAAUAGUAGAGAAUUACAAAUAUUCCGAGUCCACAAUUUUCUUGUGCGUCCUUAAGGAAUUUUAACCCCCUCACACGUUGNNNNNNNNNNNNNNNNNNNNNNNNNNNNNNNNNNNNNNNNNNNNNNNNNNNNNNNNNNNNNNNNNNNNNNNNNNNNNNNNNNNNNNNNNNNNAUAAAUCCCCCCAGGAUAAAACGGAAUAAACCUUCAUGCAACAGUGGCAAUACAAACUGCAGGAUACCAAUGAACUCAAAGAACGGAGCAAAAUCACACUUACGAAUUUGAGAGAGAGAUUGCGAAUUAAGAUGCAGUAUAUUCAGAAAGAAAGAAGUUCUGGAGUGUUUUUCAUGUCUAUAAAAUGCAGCCUUGCCUCAAAUUUAUAGGCAAAUAUCAGAAGAGGUGUCUGGAAAAGGUGUCUUUUCAGCAAAUACGCAGCCUGCCGCGGUUCUACCGCGGUCGCGGCAGAAACGCGGCCAGCUAUGUUCUCUGAACUUUCAGCAGGGUUCUGGCGUAUUUUCAGCAGUGAUUUGACAUUUAAUUAAUUAUUAAAUAAUUAAAUAACAACAACAACAACAACUACCCAGUAUAGUCCCACAAAGUGGGGUCUGGGGAGGGUAAUAGGUAGUGCUAUGUUAUAGUCUUCCGCACUUUGUUAAAAUUUCUGUUAAAAGUCUUCCACGCAUUUUACUUAAUUAUUUCGGUUAUUAUGGUAUUUAGAUUAAAUUUUAUGGAAUAUUUUAAAAAGGGUUGGUUUGCCUAGCUCCUACAGUAGGCGCCAUCACAACUCCCGAUAGUGGGAAAAACUUGGGUCGUGACAGAAGCCGAGCCGAGCGAGCGACGACGACGGUGCGAGGGUUCAUUCUCUUCAACUCCUUUUAAGAGAUUUAAGUAGUGAUUCUAUAUAUAAACACACAAAUGUGGUUGUCCCUCACCAAUAAGGGACAAAGUGCAAGACAAAAGUUCACUUCCUCAAAUUUUCAAUUUUCCUCCAUUUUCAAUUCACACUUCUUCUACUUUAAAGCCAAAUGGCUUAAAGUAUUUAACAAUCCCCCACAUGAAUGGGAAUGGCUGUAUCAAGAAAGAUCAUAGAUGAAAGCUAUGUAAUUUUGCUAGUAAGGAUUAAUUGCAUCUGGAUAAGUAGGUUUCCCUUUGAACUUCCCGUAGUGAACGUAUGUCGGAUAUACUCGGUCGAUCAGUAGAUUUGAUAUGUUUGAAUCGUCGAAUUUUAGUGUAUACCUAGACAACUAUGUCACACAACCAACCCUUAACUGUCUUUUGGUUCUCAUUGUUGUGUUUGUUUUAGCCAUGUACACCGCCUGGUUUCAUAAGUGCGUAAAGAAUUGGCCUUACAGAAUUCCCAUUGAAGCGGCUUCCACUUCGCACUUACAUAGGUGAUUCCUAAAUGUGUAAUCCUUUAGAUUGACACUAUUUGAUAUACCUCAUCAAACAUAGGUAAUCAUUAAAGAACGUGUAAAGUUUUAUCCUUGUAACUGAACAUUGUCUUCAUCACGAGAAUUGACCAAAGUUUUUUUUUAUUAUUUUGACAAUGUUGAACCGGUCAAUCAUAACUUUGUUUGAGCUCCUUGAACCUAGAUCUCGAGAAUGGACCAAAGUUUUUAUUUUGACAAUGUUGUACCGGUCAAUCACAACUUUGUUUAAUCUCGGAACGUCCAAAAUAUCUAGAUAGAGUUACCGCCAUGUUGACUUGUCCUCGGCCAUAGUCCCAUUCCCUUAGAUGAUUUAUCAACUCCCUCUCUAGUUAAGCCUUUUGUAAGCGGAUCCGCAACAUUAUCAUUUGAUCUUACAUAAUCAAUAGUGAUUAUUCCACUAGAAAGUAGUUGUCUAACGGUAUUAUGUCUUCGUCGUAUAUGACGAGACUUUCCGUUAUACAUAACGCUCCCUGCCCGUCCUAUUGCAGCCUCACUAUCGCAAUGUAUGCAGAUAUGAGCCAAAGGUUUUGGCCAGAACGGAAUGUCUUUUAAAAAAUUCCGAUGCCAUUCAGCUUCUUCACCGGCGUUAUCUAAUGCUAUAAACUCUGAUUCCAUUGUAGAGCGAGCAAUGCACGUCUGUUUGGAAGACUUCCAAGAUACUUCUCCUCCACCAAUAGUAAACACAUAUCCACUUGUGACUUUAUCUCUGUUGAGCCAAUUUUCCAAUUUGCAUCACUAUAUCCUUCGAUACACCAACAAUAAACACAUAUCCACUUGUGGACUUUGUUUAUGUUGAGCCGGUUAUCUAAUUUGUAUAUCCUUCGAUAACUUCAGGAUAUUUAUUGUAGUGCAAAGCGUAGUCUUGGGUAUACUCCAAGUAUUCCAGAACUCGUUUCAUUGCCACCCAGUGAUGUUUGUUGGGAUUACUGUGAAUCGACUAAGUUUACUUAUUGCACAAGCUAUAUCAGGUCGUGCACAGUUCAUGAUGUACAUUAAGCUUCCAACACACGAGCAUACUCCAAUUGAGACGUACUUUCACCUUUAUUCUUCUUAAAAUGAUGAUUUAAGUCAAUUGGAGUCCUUGCACUUCUAAAUUCCAAGUGUUUGAAUUUUUCAAGUACCAUUNNNNNNNNNNNNNNNNNNNNNNNNNNNNNNNNNNNNNNNNNNNNNNNNNNNNNNNNNNNNNNNNNNNNNNNNNNNNNNNNNNNNNNNNNNNNNNNNNNNNNNNNNNNNNNNNNNNNNNNNNNNNNNNNNNNNNNNNNNNNNNNNNNNNNNNUCAAGCAUACACUUAGUAGCUUGAAUGUCGGCAAUGUCUUUGCUCAUUAUUAGCAUAUCAUCAANNNNNNNNNNNNNNNNNNNNNNNNNNNNNNNNNNNNNNNNNNNNNNNNNNNNNNNNNNNNNNNNNNNNNNNNNNNNNNNNNNNNNNNNNNNNNNNNNNNNNNNNNNNNNNNNNNNNNNNNNNNNNNNNNNNNNNNNNNNNNNNNNNNNNNNNNNNNNNNNNNNNNNNNNNUCAUUGAAAGCAGCAACUUGAAAUGCUUUGUUUGGGUGCUUAUUUUAGUCCAUAAAGAGACUUAACAAGUCUACACGCCUUCUUUUCUUUUCCCAGAAUCACAAACCCUUCAGGUUGGUUCAUGUGAAUUUCUUCCUCAAGAUCACCAUUUAAGAAGGCUGUUUUUACAUCCAUUCGAUGGAUUUGAAGACCAUACAAGGCGGAUAACGUUAUUAGCAUCCGAAUGGAUGUAAUUCUUGUUACCGGCGAGUAUGUGUCAAAAUAAUCAAGACCUUCUCGUUGUCUAAAUCCUUUGACAACAAGUCUUGCCUUGUAUUUGUCAAUAGUGCCAUCUUCUUUCAUUUUCUUCUUGAAAAUCCAUUUAGAACCCAACAUUUUGUUAUCUGGAGGAAGAUCGACCAAUUCUCAAGUAUGAUUGCUCAAUAUCGAUUCUAUUUCACUAUUGACAGCUUCUUUCCAGUAUGGUGCCUAUGAGGAAGACAUUGCUUCCUUGAAGGUACGAGGUUCAUUUUCUAACAGAAAAGUAACGAAAUCUGGACCGAAUGAAAUAGAUGUCCUUUGACGUUUACUUCUUCUCAGAUUUUCCUCAUUAGGCAUACCAUCUGUUGUUUCCUCCCGAGGUCGUUUUGAGUUUUGGCAGGUCACUUCACUUUCCUUUUUAUACGGAAAGAUAGAUUCAAAGAAUUCAGCAUUAUCUGAUUCUACUAUCGUAUUACUGUGAAUCUCAGGAUUUUCUGAUUUAUGAACCAAAAAAUGAUAUGCCUUGCUAUUGGUUACAUAUCCAAUAAAUCGUAUUGAUGUGAAUCUCAGGAUUUUCUGAUUUAUGAACCAGAAAACGAUAUGCCUUUCUAUUGGUUACAUAUCCAAUAAACACACAAUCAACCGUUUUUUGACCUAUCUUAACCCUUUUAGCUAAACACUCCCACACUUUGAAGUAUUUCAAGCUAGGCUUCCUUCUUUCCACUUCUCAUAAGGAAUGGACUGUAUUUUACUAUGAGGUACACGGUUGAUUAUUCGGUUAGCUGUAAGUAUAGCUUCCCCCCACAAGUUUUGUGGUAAGCCAGAACUUAUCAGCAAUGCAUUGAUCAUCUCCUUCAAUGUUCAAUUCUUUCUCUCUGCAAUUCCAUUAGAUUGUGGAGAGUAAGGGGCGUUUGUUUGGUGAAUAAUGCAAUUUUCCAAACAUAUUUCUUCAAAAGGAGAUUCAUAUUCGCCACCCAUAUCACUUCUUAUCAUUUUGAUCUUUUUGUUUUGUUGCGUUUCAACUUCAUUCUUGUAUUGCUUGAAAGCAUCAAUUGCCUCGUCUUUACUAUUAAGUAAAUAAACAUAGCAAUAUCUCGUGCUAUCGUCAAUAAAAGUAAUAAAAUACUUUUUCCCGAUGUCAUCUUCAAUGCAAUCUUGCCAACCCUUUCAAUUUUGGCCGUAGAUGAAUUUCCCGUGACAUUUCCAAUGCAAUCUUGCCAACCCUUUCAAUUUUGGCCGUAGAUGAAUUUCCCAUGAAGAUUGUCUCGUCGGGUCCUGCGGGGGCAUAAGAAGAAAAUAAUUCCUUGUUAGCACACACAUGGCGGGUGGCUCCAGAAUCUAUCUACCAUUCUUUCUGGUUUCCUACCAAGUUGCAUUCAAACAACAUGACACAUAAGUCCUCCAUUUCAUCUUCAAACAUGUUAGCUUGAUUCUUUUUCUUCUUAUCAUUCUUUGGCGUACGACAAUCUACUGCCUUAUGCCCAGUUUUUCCAUAAUUAUGGCAAUUACCCUUGAACUUCUUCUUGCUUGGAUAAUUCUUUGGUCCAGAGGCCUUCUUCCUCUUCUUAUUUUGUGGUGCCUCCUCAACAACGUUUNNNNNNNNNNNNNNNNNNNNNNNNNNNNNNNNNNNNNNNNNNNNNNNNNNNNNNNNNNNNNNNNNGUGCCUCCUCAACAACGUUUGCCCCCAUUAUUGUCGAGUGUCCACGUGACUUCUUUUCAGCAUUUUUGUUGUCUUCUUCUAUCCUUAGACGAACAAUCAAAUUUUCUAAUCUCAUCUCCUUUCGCUAAAUAGUUCUUAAAAUCCUUUCAUAACGGAGGUAACUUCUCAUUGAAAGCAGCGACUUGAAAUGCUUCAUUUAUGACCAUACCUUCAAUAAGAAACUUAUAAUUAGUAAUAAGAUAGAUCUUAUUAAUAAAAUUAUUGACUCGGGUCAUACCUUCAGCAAAGAGGUCAUGUACAAUGACUCGUAGUUCUUGGACUUGAGUUAUGACCGACCUAGUAUCAAUCCUCUUGAAAUCCAGAAACCUUGCAGCCACGAACUUCUUAAGUUCGGCAUCCUCAGUCUUGUACUUCUUCUCAAGCGCAUUCCAUAAGGCUUUUGAAGUUUCCAUGACACUAUAGACAUUAUACAAACCAUCUUCCAAACAACUCAGAAUGUAGAUUCUGCACAAAAAUUGAAAUGUUUCCAUGCUUCAGUUACAACAAGUCGUUCAUCAUCCGGAGUGUUUUCUGCCAAGACCGGAGGAUCCUCCUUGAUGAAACGUUGCAGACUCAACGUAGUAAGAUAGAAGAGCAUCUUUAUUUGCCAGCAUUUGAAGUCAAUACCGGAAAACUUUCAGGUUUUUCCGCCGGUGCCAUAGCAUGGGCAGGAGUAGAACGGCUUGACGAGGCAGCAACACUUGUAACAGUAGCACCCGUUCCCGCAACACUUCCAUUAGUUUGGUUUUCAUUCGUCAUAUUUCUGUAAAGUUGAAAACAAUAAAGAACUUUGUUAAAUCAGUGAAGUUUUGAUAUCUUCAAACUGAAUUCCAAACCAAACAUACAACACGUAACAAUGGUGAAGUUUUUAUAUACUUCAAAACCAGUACGUUUAUUAUUCCGGUAAAGUUUUUAUGUACUUUAAACCGGACAGAAACAGUUAUUGGAGUAGAAAGCAAUAAGGCUUUAGUCUCCAACAAAGUAUAUGGUAAACAGUUUAAUAAUCAACACAGAAACGUUAGUAGUUAAAAUUCCUUAAGCUUGUAAGCGUUACUGUGUUAAAACAAAAUCAGAAAAACUUAGAAGAAUAAAGAAAUGUAGAAAAUAGUAGAGAAUUAGAAAUAUUCCGAGUCCACAAUUUUUUUGUGCGUGUCUAAGAAAUUUUAACCCCCUCACACGUUGCCAAGGUAAUGGAUUAAAUCCUCCCAGGAUAAAACGGAAUAAACCUUCCUGCAACAUUGGUAAUACAAACUGCAGGAUACCAACGAACUCAACAAACGGAGCAAAAUCACACUUACGAAUUUGAGAGAGAGAGAGGCUGCGAAUACAAUACAAACUGCAGGAUACCGACGAACUCAAAGAACGAGUAAAAUCGCACUUACGAAUUUGAGAGAAAGACUGCGAAUUAAGAUGCAGUAUAUUCAGAAAGAAGUUCUGGAGUGUUUUUCAUGUCUAUAAGAUGCAGCCUUGCCUCAGAAUUUAUAGGCAAAUACCAGAAGAGGUGUCUGGAAAAGGUACCUUUUCAACAAAUACGCAGUCUGCCGCGGUUCUACCACGAUCGCGGCAGAACCACAGUCAGAGAUGCUCUCUUAAACUGACUGCCGCGGUUCCGCGGUCGCGGCGAAACGCGGCCAGCUAUGUUCUCUGAACUUUCAGCAGGGUUCUGGCGUAUUUUAAGCAACGAUUUGGUAUUUAAUUAAUUAUUAAAUAAUUAAAUAAAUUUUGUCCAAAAAUAAUCUUAUCGAUCGAUUUGACAAAUCCAAAUCCAAAGCCGAGCCGACCGAGUGACGACGACGGCGCGAGGGUUCAUUCUCUUCAACUUUUUUUAAGAGAUUUAAGAAUUAAUUCUAUAUAUAAACACAUAAAUGUGGUUGUCCCUCACCAAUGAGGGACAAAGUGCAACACAAAAGUUCACUUUUUCAAAUUUUCAAUUUCCCUCCAUUUUAUUUCCCUCAAUUUCCAAUUCACACUUCUUCUACUUUAAAGCCAAAUGGCUUAAUGUAUUCAACACUCAGUCACCUUACCAUCCCAACUAGGUUGGCAUUCAUGUCUUCUUUUUAGUUUGUUGUAUCCUCUUCUUUGCUGCCUAGGUGAGAGACCUCCAUCCCUAGUCACAUUAACAAAACAUUCAUCCAACACGUCAUCCUCAUCCUCCUCGUCAAAUAUGUCAAUGCCCAUAUCACCACAAAAGCUUCAGUUGAACUAGGUCCUAAAACUAAAACCCUAGCUCAUGUCUCUUGGCUACUAUUCCAGGCUUGGAGGUAAUGUCUAAGCUCUUUUUAUUGUUAUCAAUAGCAUUCAAUGUGUCCAUAUCAUGAGAGAGAAGAGCAUGAAUGAUGUCUCUAUUUGCCAAUUUAACUUUUAUAUCACUUAAAUUCAGACUCUUCAAAGUACCAAGAGUGCCCUACUUGAGUUAAAAAAUUGUGUUGCUUUACACGAAGGCACAGAAGGAGACCCUUGGCGUUACUCGUAAAGUUGUUGCCAUGUGACUAGGAGGUCAAGGGUUCGAGCCGUGAAAACAACCCCUUGCAGAAAUGCAGGGUAAGACUGUGUACAAUAAACUCUUGUAACGAGGCGUUUACCCGGACCCCGCGCAUAGUGAGAGCUUAGUGCAUCGGCGAUUCCUUUUUUUUUCUUUUUACACGAAGGCACAAAUGGAGGUGCUUGAGGGCUCAACUUGCUCCUAGGAGGAGAAAUAAUCUGCUCUUCUUCAUCAACCAAAUCAGCCCACCUAGGAGCACUUGUAGUACCUUUUGGCUUCUUAGAAAUAAUCAUAUCAUUUGUGGAACUAGCUUGGGAGAUUGAAGGCAUACCUUUAUUCAAAUUUUUAAUUCCUUGGAGAUAAUAAGAGCUGCCUGAAUUCACGUUAAUAAUCGCCAAAUGACUCCAAAAGAUUGUGAAGGAACAUCAUGAACCGAGGUGUUCAAUGUGACCAUAGGUGGCUUGACCAGUGUUAUCAAAAGUGAAAAGAUCAAAAAAGCUCUAAGGUUAGUUGGGGCUUUAAGCGCAAAGCGCAAAAUAAAGCCUGGGCUUUAAUGGAAAAGGCACAAAUGGAGAAAAACUACAAAUAUGUAUGUGUAGUCUAUGACUAUUAUCGACAAGCAUGAAUAUCAAAUAUAUGGACAAAGAAAUUGAAGAAAAUUUACGAUAAAGUAAAAUAUCAAUUGUUUAGUGUUGCCUCUUUAGGAUUACAUUCAUUGGCAAAGAAAAGUAUGUCUAGAGCCUUGAUGACAACACUGCAUGCUAAGCGAGGCAAAGCGCUCAACAUGUUUUGAGCCUCGCUUCAGGGCUUAAGCGCGCCUUCGAUAACACUGGGCUUGACCUUAUUGGUACUUAUCAACAUGGGAGUUUGAGUUUUUUAAAUAAUUUUUACUACUUCAGGAUUGAAAAUAUGCAGCAGCUGCAUUACUAUCUUUUCCAGCAGUUUUCAGAAGAGAAUCAAAGGUAUUUAAACAGAUAAGGUGCUUUGAGAUAGAAACUUGGACAUUCACUACCUGCUUCUGUUUUGUCACCCUUGGAGAACCACUUACUAUCUUAGCUAAAUCUGGAUUAGGAAUUACCAAUGUAGGCGUUUCCAAAGUGUUUUCCUGGCCAUCCCUUAGUCCAAAGAACAGAAUUAGGACUUAAAAUAUGCGAGGACAAAUAUCGAGCACCUGACUUGCCCACCUUUGCUGCACAUUGGUGCAAUCUACAGGACCCUAUUUUGCCUGGUACUACAGUUCAGCCUGCACCAUUGUUAUUCUCCAAACCCAGUCCUUGUAGCAGUAAAAGGAUUCCCUAGCACGAUCGCAAGCUGUGCAGAGGCAACAAGACCCUUUUACACUUGAUCAGCUGUAGGAUUCACCCCAUGCUCAACAUGAAUUACGUUAUUCUUUAUGGUAAUAAGCUGGUUAUUACGUUCAGUACCAGUAACAUUGUUGACCACUACUAAUUCCCUAUCUUCCGUACAAUUUACUACCCGUUUAGUAGUAUUAUCUGAAGCUGAAUUUGGCUCCUUGUCAAUCACCUUCUUCUUUGCUAAUUUUUAAUUAUUAUUAUUGAAAAAAAAUGAUCAACUGCAGUAGUUUUAUUAUUUAUGUGUUAGGAGUAAAUUAUUUUAUUCCAUUAUUGGUGUUUUUUGUAUAUCUUGUGUGUAUAGAGAAGAUGACUUCUCAGAAAAGUAAGGAAAGAAAAAGGAAUUAAUGCAUCUUUUUCAGUUGCUCCUAGCCAAAGAGCUAGGACUACAGCUUAGCAAAAAAACAAGUGGUAAAUAAAUUAAAGCAUUCAAUCAUCUAAGAAAUUAGUUGGAAAUAACCCAUUGACCAUCACACCUUAUCAAUCCAUAUCAUGUAACUCUUAGACAACAGAUAUAAGUCUACAGAUGUUGAAACUUCUAAUAUUAACUUAUUAUAGAAUGUUACUUGACAGAUAUAAGUCUACAGUAUGUUGAAACUUCUAAUAUUAACUUAUUAUAGAAUGUUACUUGUCUUAUGUAGCGGAAAUGAGGAUGUUGAGACGGAUGUGUGGGCAUACUAGGUUGGAUAGAAUUAAGAAUGAAGUUAUUCGAGACAAAGUGGGAGUGGCCCCUGUGGAGGCAAAGAUGCGUGAGGCAAGGUUGAGAUGGUUCGGGCAUGUUAAGAGGAGAAGUGCAAAUGUCCCUGUCAGGAGAUGUGAGAGGUAGGCCUUAGGAGGUGAGAGGAGGGGUAGAGGUAGGCCAAAAAAGUCUUGGGGAGAGGUGAUUAGGCGGGACAUGGCGAAACUUGAGCUAACCAAGGAUAUGACUCUAGAUAGAAGGGUGUGGAGGUUGAAGAUUUGGGUAGAAGGUUAGUAGGUAGUCGUGCAUCUCCCUUUUUCUUCUCUAUCUCGAUAGUAUUAGCGCUAGUACGGUACCUUUUUUCCUUAGUUUGCUAUAUUCGCAUGUCUUGUUUCGUUGUUACUUGCCAUUGAUAAUUCCGUAGUUUACUAGCAGUACUUUGUUCAUAUUCUUGUAUGCUGCCUUGGAUUUAGUUUUUUAAAUUUGUUAUCUUGCUACAACUUGUUCAGAGAACGAAGGUUGCGGAGAUGUGGAUGCUCAGGUGGGUGUGCGGGCUUACUAGGUUAGAUAAGAUUAAGAAUGAAGUUAUUCGAGAGAAGGUGGGGGUGGCAUAUUCAGAGGAUGAAGGUUGCGGAGAUGAGGAUGCUUAGGUGGAUGUGCGGACACACCACGCUAGAUAAGAUUAAGAAUGAAGUUAUUCGAGAGAAGCUGGGGGUGGCCCCGGUGGAUGAGAAGAUGCGAGAAGCGAGGCUGAGGUGGUUCAGGCAUGUGCGGAGGAGAAGUCCAGAUAUCCCAGUGAGGAGUUGAGAACGGCUGGCGAUUGUCGGCGUUCGGCGAGGCAGAGGGAGGCCUAAGAGGUAUUGGGGAGAGGUGAUUCGGCAUGACAUGGCUAGAAUGCCGGUUUCCGAGGACAUGACCCUUGAUAGGAAAGUCUGGAGUUCUAGUAUGAGGAUUGUAGGAUAGGGGCCCCUAGAGUUUUCGUACUACUCACCGGGGGUUGGGUGAAGCUUUGCAGGGCUAUCCAUAAAUGAUUUGUGUUUUGGAUUGGGUCUCCCUUAUGGUAGUUACUGUAUGAUACUAUUGCAUGCUAUUUUAUUUAUGAUUCUUAUGUUUAGAUAAUUAUUUACGCUAUUUCUGCUUGACUUACUAAUGCUCUUUUGUUUUUGUUUUUUUUUCUCCCUUUCCUUCACUGAGCCGAGGGUCUAUUGGAAACAGCCUCUCUGCCCUUUCGGGUANNNNNNNNNNNNNNNNNNNNNNNNNNNNNNNNNNNNNNNNNNNNNNNNNNNNNNNNNNNNNNNNNNNNNNNNNNNNNNNNNNNNNNNNNNNNCCUUUCGGGUAGGGGUAAGGCUCGUCUACAUAUUACCCUCCCCAGACCCCACUUUGUGGGACUAUACUGGGUAGUUGUUGUUGUUGUUGUUGUUAUAUCUUGCUACAACUUGUUAUCAGUACCCUAUUCAUAUUAUUGCUAUCUCCGAUUUAGUUUUCUAAUUAUGGUUUUUCUAUUACUUGCUAUCAGGGCUUCUCUCACCUUCUUUAGCCGAGGGUCUAUCGGAAACAGUCUCUCUGCCCUUCCAGGGUAGGGGUAAGGCUGCGUACAUCCUACUCUCCCCAGACCCCACUUAUGGGACCACACUGGGUUGUUGUUGUUGUUGUUACUUGUCUUAUUACUAGUAAAGGAUGGCCCAUGCUAAGCAUGGACCCAAAAACUAUAUUGUAUAUUGGGGUUUUUUCUUAAUCCUUAUAUAAAUAGUCGAUUGAAUUCACAAUUUAUUUUUUUAGUUGGUGGUAUAAAUAUAUUAUACACCAAUUUUAUAUAUAUAUAAUAUAUAUAUAUAUAUAUAUAUAUAUAUAUGCAUCUACCUGUUAUUUUUAGUUUAAUCUGUUGGGUGGGCCAUUAGGAUCAAGUUUUGAAAAUUUAAAUAGCAAAAAUUAGAGAGUAAUCAUGAAAUAUUAAAAAUUUCAAUGUUAUACAAAACCAUAUAAACAAUAUUGAAUAGUUGAAAAGGUGCACGACUCAUUCUUAUUCAUUUUUAUUUUUAUGGUAUUUUAAUCUUUUAGUUUAAUUUGGUUCUUUCUGUUAUAAUUUUAUUCUUUUCUGCUCAAGUAUAUUUACAAGCUAUAAUGCAUGGCAAUAAUAAUAGAAUUAAACCACCCAAUGUACCUUAGAAUUAUGGAAUAUAAUUCUCUUUUAUUUAAUUUGUAAAUGCACAAUAAAAAUUCCUUUCUUUUAAUGUGGUAGUUAGAAUGUAAUUUUUGAUAAUUUUCUUGAAUUCUAACAUGAUAUCUAGCAUAUGCAUGAUAAUUUUCUUUUUAACUAAAGAUUAAAUGUUAGAUAACCCACUAUUAGUAACAACAGAUAUUUAGCAUGGAAGAACAAAUAUUAUAUGCUGCAAUUAUUGUUGUAUUAUGAAAUAAACUAUGUUAAUUUAAAAUAAAAAUAAACAAUUUUUGUUUUUGAAGUAUUACGACUGAUCAUAACUUUACAUUGAAUUGCUAAUGUUAUGUUAAACAAUGAAAAUCAGUUUGCAACUUUGAGUUCCUUUAAAAAGUUGAGGCUUCUCUAUUUUAAUAUGUAUAGAUAAAUUUAGUCUUUAGUUUUUGUGCAGAUAGAUUUUAGCUAUUCCUAUGAUUCAACUGUGUAUAGUAGUAUUAUAUAAUUUGUUAUAAAAUUGUCUCUUGCUUUUUUAAUUUAAAGUAAAGGUAUAUAUAAAGAGAUUGCACGUCCAAUCCGAAAAUAGAAUAAAAAGUUUUUUAGUAGAGUGUCUUUUCCUUACCAUGUUAUUUAAUAUUAAAAACUAAAUAAAUUGGCGUGUCAUUUUGUUGGUGGCCUCAUUUAUUUAGCAUAUCAAUGCAUGAAGAAUGAGAUCUUGAGUGUUCUUUAUUUUUAUCAUACAAAUAAUCUAAUAAUUUGUUGAGUAGGUGGCGUGCAACAUUAGAGAAUGGGCAAUCUAUUUGAAAAUAUUUGCAUGCUUUUUGAGAAAGAAAAUAUAUGCAUGGAGAAUAUUGUAGAGACAAUUUUCAGGUUUCUCUGACACCAUAUCUACUGCUUUUGAGGAUAUAAAUUGUGUUCAAACUUUACCAAAAUUACCAAAACAUAUACAAGCAAUUAUGUAAUAAAGGAUAAAAACAGGGGCAAAUAAAACUUCAAAAAGUUAUACAAGGAAUAUGCUGAUGGUUAAUGAGGCAAGCAAGGGUAAAAUUGUCAAGGCACAAAAAACUUUAUGUACCAGCUAUAGUACAAUUACCCUUAGGCCAAUCAUCUUGCUCAAAUUUGAUAAAAUUUGAAAUACCCUCAGUUAUGCCAAGUAGGCAUGUUGCCCAUCGGCUCCUUGCUUAUCCUCACUUAUAUAAUAGUAAUAGAUUCAUAUUACUAAUUUUACUUAUUAUGGGUAGUGGCAUGUAAACUUUCAAAAUUAUCUAAAAAGAUUUAGACUAUCAAUAUAUAAAAGUUAAACUCAUAAAGAACAACACUACAUAUCAUGUCGCUUUAUCAGCCAAAUUGCUUUAGCUUGGAAGAAGAAGAAGACAAAAGAAGAUUCAGGUUAAACUUUGUUACUUCAACUUGGAAAAGAAAAAUACAAAAUGUGAGAUAGCUUCUUUAUAUUUCUAUAUGUUGCUCUUAAUCUCCUACUUAUAGGAAACAGUCACCAACUUAAGAAAAAUACAAAAUGUGAGAUAGCUUCUUUAUAUUUAUUUUUAUAUGGCUCCUAUUUAUAUUCCUACUUAAGAAAUAGUCAUCAACUUGGAAACAAAUUCUUCAAUAUUUCUAUCUGAACUUCCUCCUUCAUCCACAGCUUUUCUAGCCAAUUCCUUCCAUUUCUUUGCAUUUUCCUUAACCAUUUUUCCUUUCUCUUUUUCCAUUACUAUGUUUAUACAUUCUUCAAUAACUUCUCUUCUAACUAAUCCUUUUUCAUCUUGUUUUGCUCUUACUCCCAUCCCCCAAACAUCUUCCGCAAGCUUUGCAUUUGUUGGCUGAUCUGACCAUUGUGGCAUUGCAACCAUUGGUACUCCCAAACUAAUCGCUUCCAAAGUCGAAUUCCACCCACAAUGUGUGAGAAAACACCCUAUUGAUUUAUGUUCCAAGACUUGUAAUUGUGGACACCAUGACACCACUAAGCCUUUAUUCUCACUUGCCAAUUUUAAUUCUUCUAAAAAGUUUUUGGGAAGUUUCGAUUCUUCAGUGGAUCUAACAACCCACAAGAAGUUCUUGUUGCUAUUUUUCAAACCCCAUGCUAAUUCUUCCAUUUGCUCAGGUUCUAGUUUGGUUAAACUUCCAAAUGAUACAUAUACUACUGAGCUGAUUGGUUGGUGAUUUAACCAGUUUAGGCAUUCAUUUGUCAUUGGCUUGAAGAUACUUAGGCCAUAUUCUGUGUCAUUUGGUAGCCUCUUGUCUAGGUAUAUUGAUGGUAUAGUUGGUCCAAUUGUCUUGAUUGGAUAAACCUUGGACAUCCAAUCAGUUACCUACAUGUCAACAAAUUAGAAGAAGGAUGAGAUUUCAUGUAACAAUUUAAACAGUGUGUGUGUAUAACUUAGAUGGCUGAAAAAUUAACUCCAAUGUGUACUAUUUAUUUAUUUAUUCUAAUGUAUUUUUCCUACCACAAUACCUCAAGUAUGAAUACUGUUACACUGGUAAAAACUGUGGAUGAAUAAAUAUCCUGUGGACAAGACCGGCUUUGGAAAAAGUUAUAAUUGUAGUAGUACUUUAAGUUUUUACCAAGUACUACUUCUGGUCCAUAUUACCAUCUGCGUUUAAGAAACACAUGCAAUGGUCUUAGUAUAAGAUUAUGUCUAAACUGCACUUUAUUUCUUUUAGAUAUCUCACUUCAUUAACACUUCACUAAUUGGAGCAAUAAGGCUGUUAAACUGGUAUAGUGAAUCAGAGUGUUGUAUUUUUCUAUGCAGCCAAUUGGCAAAGUUAACAGAAAAAUAGAAGACAAAAAUAGAAAAUAUUCUCUCUUACCUCUUUCUCCAAUUCAUAGAAACUGUUGAUUAGGACCCAAUCUAUUUUCUCAAGAUUUGAGAAUUGAUUCACCAACAUUUCAAGUGCUCUUGCUGAUUCAGGAGUAGAAACAAAACUAGGUACAUCUGAACUCUCAAUUGUUACUAAUCCAGGAAUUGAGAUUUCUUCAUCAACUUCAGUAGGUGGAAGUUUUAGAAUCCCUUUAUGUACAUGAUAAUAAAUAUUAUCCACUGCACAAGAUUGUGUGAAAAAUGCAGCACAAACUAAUCCAUACUUCUUUGCCACUUCUACAGCCCAAGGAAGAAAUGGAUCAUAAACAAUGCAAUUCACAGGACAACCACGAGUCGUUAACGUUUCAAUAAGCUGAGACAGAGUGUCAGAGCCAAUUUCUUUGAAUCUUGUAGUAUAGGCCGCGAAGCUUUCCGCUUGGU
rnacentral:lncRNA from 1 species